CCCAUAAUACCAACCUAUCUCUACAGGAGAAGCUGUCCGUGGCUCCGGUAGUGAAGAAAGCCUCCUACAUCAGACAUCAACAAGAAUCCGGGUGACCAAUCCGGAUCCGGAUCGUCACCUGACGACAGAGACCUUCAGUCAGACACUGGGUCCUGACGACAGAGAGGCCUUCAGUCAGACACUGGGGAUGAACAUUAAAGUAGUGGAGGAGAGCUGGAGGACUUGAGUCAAACGUUUGGGAUGACGGUUAAAGAAGAAGAGGAUGAGGAAGUCAGCCAGAUUCAUUCAGGUCCCCAGUAGAAGAAGUGGACUGGGAGGCUGUUGAACUUGGUAAGUAGAGGGAGGGAGUCUGUUGAACUUAAAGAAACAUGAAGUAAUCAGGACUUACUAUCUCGGUGUCCCAAAUGGCAUCCUACCCCCUACUUAGACCAGAGUUCAAUAGGGAAUAGGGUGCCAUCCU
rnacentral:lncRNA from 1 species